rnacentral:rRNA from 1 species
UACGGAAGGGGCAAGCGUUGUUCGGAAUCAUUGGGCGUAAAGGGCGUGUAGGUGGUUCUGUAUGUCUACCGUGAAAGCGUACGGCUCAACCGUAUUUAGUCGGUAGAAACUGCAGGACUUGAGGCUGGGAGGGGCUGGUGGAAUUCCCCGUGUAGCGGUGAAAUGCGUAGAGAUGGGGGAGAACACUCGUGGCGAAGGCGGCCAGCUAGACCAGUUCUGACACUGAGGCGCGACAGCGUGGGGAGCAAACAGG